rnacentral:siRNA from 1 species
AUGUGGACCCUACACUAUUCCUA